GAUGAACGCUGGCGGCGUGCUUAACACAUGCAAGUCGAGCGAUGAAGUUUCCUUCGGGAAACGGAUUAGCGGCGGACGGGUGAGUAACACGUGGGUAACCUGCCUCAUAGAGUGGAAUAGCCUUCCGAAAGGAAGAUUAAUACCGCAUAACGUUGAAAGAUGGCAUCAUCAUUCAACCAAAGGAGCAAUCCGCUAUGAGAUGGACCCGCGGCGCAUUAGCUAGUUGAUGGGGUAAUGGCCUACCAAGGCGACGAUGCGUAGCCGACCUGAGAGGGUGAUCGGCCACAUUGGGACUGAGACACGGCCCAG
rnacentral:rRNA from 1 species